UCCACUGACCAGGAAAGGAAAGAUCACACUGAAACCUGAGGAUGGAUACUGGACUGUGGUUCUGAGGAAAGGGAAGGAAUUUUUUGCCUGUGCUGAACCCUUCACCUCCCUGUGUCUGAGUGAGAGAGACAAGGCAGCGGGUCGGUGUGUUUGUGGAUUAUGAGGAGGGUCUGGUCUCCUUUUAUGAUGUGGAGUCCAGCUCUCUUAUCUACUCUUUCACUGCUUAACCAGCUGGUUGAACGGUUUGAUCAGCUACACAACAGCCCUCCCACGGCUCCAACGGCAACCCCUCCUCCCGAUCCCGAUGGAACUAGUAACCGUCACACUGAACCAAGGCUCAAUCCUCCUGCUUCUUACUCGGGGUGGAAAUGUUGA